AGGAUGAUCAGCCACACUGGGACUGAGACACGGCCCAGACUCCUACGGGAGGCAGCAGUGGGGAAUAUUGGACAAUGGGGGCAACCCUGAUCCAGCARUGCCGCGUGUGUGAAGAAGGCCUUCGGGUUGUAAAGCACUUUUAUCGGGAGCGAAAC
rnacentral:rRNA from 1 species